UGGUAAUUAGUUUAAAUUAAAACAAAUGAUUUCGACUCAUUAGACUAUAGCUCGCCCUAUAAUUAUCAA
rnacentral:tRNA from 2 species